rnacentral:rRNA from 1 species
GAUUGGACUAACUAGCGGAUUACGGGUACGAAGAAUUAGGGUUUGAUAUCGAAGAGGGAGCCUGAGAAACGGCUACCACUUCUAAGGAAGGCAGCAGGAGCGUAAAUUACCCAAUUCUGAUUCAGAGAGGUAGUGACAAGAAAUAAUAACUCGGAUAGUUCUACUAUUACGAGAUUAAAAUGAGAACAAUUUAAAGAUCUUAACGAGGAACAAUAAGAGGACAAGUCUGGUGCCAGCACCCGCGGUAAUUCCAGCUCUUAAAGUGUAUAUUAAAGUUGUUGCAGUUAAAAAGCUCGUAGUCUAUCAUCUAGUGCUGCACGCGAUGGCUCACGCUUUCGCGGCGCAGUACUAUCAGUUCGAGAACUUCUCCUACCUUAACUGGUCGAAGAUGCUGAUCGGACGUUUUCCUGAGAAAAAAUUAGAGUGUUCAAAGCAGGCUAAUGCAAUGAAUAUUACAGCUUGGAAUAAUAGAAUAAGACUAAAGUCUCUUUUGUUGGUUAUGAACUUUAGUAAUGAUUAACAUAAACAGUCGGGGGUAUUAGUAUUUAAGUGUCAGAGGUGAAAUUCUAUGAUUACUUAAAGACUAACUUAUGCGAAAGCAUUUACCAAGGAUGUUUUCAUUGAUCAAGAACGAAAGUUAGGGGAUCAAAGACGAUCAGAUACCGUCCUAGUCUUAACUAUAAACGUUUCCGACCAAGGAUCGGGCAGGUUUGCUAAGCCUGUUCGGCACUUUAUGAGAAAUCAUUCUUUGGGUUCCGGGGGAAGUACGGACACAAGUCUGAAACUUAAAGGAAUUGACGGAAGGGCACACAAGAUGUGGAGACUGCGGCUUAAUUUGACACAACACGGGGAAACUUACUAGGGCAAGACUAAGGUUGGAUUGACAGAUUAAGAGCUCUUUCUUGAUUCUUAGGGUGGUGGUGCAUGGCCGUUCUUAGUUGGUGAGGCGACUUGUCUGCUUAAUUGCGUUAACGAACGAGACUUCAACCUGCUAAACUAGGAGCCGGAUUACUCAUCCGGUUUCCUUCUUAGAGGGACAAUGUAUUUCAAGUACAAGGAAGUUUGAGGCAAUAACAGGUCUGAGAUGCCCCUAGACGUCCUAGGCCGCACGCGUUCUACAAUGAUGUAUUCAGCGAGUAUCUUCCAGCCCUGGAAAGGUGCGGGUAAUCUUCAUAGGAUACAUCGUGCUUUGGAAUAAUCCUUUGCAAUUAUAGGAUUUAAACCAGGAAUAUCUAGUAUAGGUGCGUCAUCAGCGCACCUAGAUUAAGUCCCUGCCCUUUGUACACACCGCCCGUCGCUCCUACCGAUUGAGUGAUUAGGUGAACAUUCUAGAUUAGAGCAGUCUUCAAGGCUGAGCUGAAAAGUUAAGUAAAUCAUUAUCACUUAGAGGAAGGAGAAGUCGUAACAAGGUU